UAGCCUAUUAGGCAGACGGAAAGAUUUCUGGGGAAUGGUAACGUGACGUGAUCUACUUGAUAUCACCCCCGGCUCUUAACUCCGAUUGUAUAAAUAUAUAUUAAAUAAAUAAUCCCAGAAGAGAGUGAAAUCCGUCGAAACGACUACCUGCUUCUUCACUCCGGCGUUACAGGGGGAGAGCUCAUUCAGUAAUGGGUUCCGAAGAAGGCCAGGUUUUGGUGGAAGAGAAGCAAUAUGUGAGGAAUCUGGUAUUGAACAGGCCUAGGCAGCUGAAUGCCCUUUCUUUUCAAAUGAUUUCUCGUUUGUUGGAUCUUUUCCGUGCCUAUGAGGAUGAUUCUAAUGUCAAAUUCGUUGUUGUCAAGGGGAAAGGAAGAGCUUUUUGUGCUGGUGGAGAUGUUGCUGCUGUGGUUCGUGAUAUUAAUGAAGGUAAGUGGAAAUUAGGUGCAGAAUUUUUUCGGAAGGAGUUUACCUUAAAUUACUUGAUAGCAACGUACAGUAAACCACAGGUUUCAAUCCUCAAUGGAAUUGUCAUGGGAGGUGGAGCUGGAGCUUCAAUACAUGGUAGAUUCCGAGUUGUAACUGAAACUUCGGUAUUUGCUAUGCCAGAAACAGCUUUGGGACUCUUUCCAGAUGUGGGUGCCUCUUACUUCUUGUCAAGACUUCCUGGAUUCCUUGGAGAAUAUUGUGGUCUAACUGGUUCUAGAUUGGAUGGUGCGGAAAUGCUUGCUAGUGGUCUUGCAACUCACUUUGUCCCAUCAACAAGGCUAUCCUUGUUAGAAGAAGAACUAUACAAGGUGGAUUCAGGUGAUCCAGUCAUCAUCUCAGAAGUUAUUGGUAAAUACUCACAGGAGCCUCAUCUAAAAGAUAAAAGUGCUUUUCUCCGGCGAGAUGUUAUUGAUAAGUGCUUCUCUCAAAGAACAGUAGAAGAUAUUUUAUCUGCCCUUGAGAGGGAGGUAAUAAAAAAGCCAGAUGAUUGGAUUUCUGCAACCAUUCAAACAUUAAGAAAGGCAUCCCCAAUGAGUUUGAAAAUCUCUUUGAGAUCGAUUAGAGAAGGAAGACUCCAGGGUGUUGGUCAAUGUCUUGUACGUGAAUUUAGAAUGGUUUGUCAUGUGAUGCAAGGACAAGUCAGCAAGGAUUUCGUAGAGGGUUGCAGAGCUCUGUUGUUGGACAAGGAUAAAAACCCCAAGUGGAAGCCUUCUAAACUUGAGCUCAUCAGUGAUGAUAUGGUUAAUCAGUACUUCUCGAAGGUGGAUGAUGAAGAAUGGGAAGACCUCAAGCUUCCUGCAAGAUCCAACUUGCCAGUAUCUGCCAUUGCCAAGCUUUAGAUGAAGAAGAACAAAAAGCCCUAAAAAACCAUUCGAACGUGGCUUAGGAAGCCAUUGUCGUCGACUUAAAGCUCUUGGAAGAAACCAUCGGUCGAGGGUAUGUGGCAUUUUAAAUGGCAGCAAAAGGUUCAUUUUCAUCUUCUUCGGGUGUGCACAAUCGAGGAAGGAAUAAGGAUGAGUUUGAUUGUGUGAGCUGCGAUUGUGGAUUGCAAUCAGCCGUGAGGACUUCAUGGGCCAAGCGGAAUCCUGGGAGAAGGUUCAGAACUUGCUCCAGAGUGAAAUUUGAUGGGGGUUGUGAUUUCUUUCGGUGGGUCGAUUCAAAGUCUUCAUCAUCUCGAAGAGGUAUGGUUCCAGGAUGGGUGAGAAGGUUCGAGGCAGAGGAUGGAAUACGUGUUAAACAUGAUGUUGCUUGUAAUGUUUGUCCUCAUUGUAAUAAUGGGAUAACAAUUAUUAUUAGUUGGGGAAAAUUAAUUUGUAUUGUAAUUGUUUUAGUUAUAUUAUGGAUCCUAAAGUAGUGUUGGUGUUUGGUUUGUAAAAUGUAAACAUUUGAGGCAUCUUUAUUGGCCUCUGUAUUGUAAUUAUGUUAGUUUUGAAUGAAUGCAAUUUGCUGCAAUUUGGUGAA